UGGGGAAUAUUGCGCAAUGGGGGGAACCCUGACGCAGCCAUGCCGCGUGAAUGAAGAAGGCCUUCGGGUUGUAAAGUUCUUUCGGUAUUGAGGAAGGUUGAUGUGUUAAUAGCACAUCAAAUUGACGUUAAAUACAGAAGAAGCACCGGCUAACUCCGUGCCAGCAGCCGCGGUAAUACGGAGGGUGCGAGCGUUAAUCGGAAUAACUGGGCGUAAAGGGCACGCAGGCGGUUAUUUAAGUGAGGUGUGAAAGCCCCGGGCUUAACCUGGGAAUUGCAUUUCAGACUGGGUAACUAGAGUACUUUAGGGAGGGGUAGAAUUCCACGUGUAGCGGUGAAAUGCGUAGAGAUGUGGAGGAAUACCGAAGGCGAAGGCAGCCCCUUGGGAAUGUACUGACGCUCAUGUGCGAAAGCGCGGGGAGCAAACAGGAUUAGAUACCCUGGUAGUCCACGCUGUAAACGCUGUCGAUUUGGGGGUUGGGGUUUAACUCUGGCGCCCGUAGCUAACGUGAUAAAUCGACCGCCUGGGGAGUACGGCCGCAAGGUUA
rnacentral:rRNA from 1 species